GGUGAAUGGUGUGCACGGUGUUGGUCUGUGUUAUGUGUUGUUGCCAGACUGUGUUUUGCAGUCUGGGCAGCAGUGCUCACUCCACACUUGCAGCCAUACAAUAACUGGAGAUCAUAGUACUGGCCCUUGACGUCUUUUAUUGACUUCUCACCAUUGGCCGGCCUCCAAACUCUCCAACAUGC